rnacentral:rRNA from 1 species
UUAAAUUAGUAAGAGCGUACGGUGGAUGUCUUGGCAUAUAGAGCAGAAGAAGGACGCAGAUAACGGCGAAACGCCUCGGGGAGUCGUACACAGGCAACGAUCCGGGGGUAUCCGAAUGGGGAAACCCGAUAAAGUUGAAAAGCUUUAUCAUCCUUAAGCCAAUACAUAACUUAAGAGAAGGCAACCCAGGGAAUUGAAACAUCUUAGUACCUGGAGGAGAAGAAAAUAACAAUGAUUCCGAGAGUAGUGGCGAGCGAAAUCGGAGCAGCCCAAACCAGCAAUGAGCUGGGGUAGUAGGACCACGACAAGUGAUUGAAAAGAGAUAGUCGAAUGGCAUUGAAAGGUCAGCCGCAGAAGGUGCAAGCCCUGUAGGCGAAAUCUCGAUUCACGCGAGUGGGAUCCUGAGUACGUCGGAGCACGUGAAACUCUGACGGAAUCAACCGGGACCAUCCGGUAAGGCUAAAUACUCCUAUAUGACCGAUAGUGAACCAGUACCAUGAGGGAAAGAUGAAAAGAACCGCGGGAGCGGAGUGAAAUAGAUCCUGAAACCGUAUGCUUACAAAAAGUCAGAGCACAUUAAGGUGUGAUGGCGUGCCUUUUGUAGAAUGAACCGGCGAGUUAUCUUUGCAUGCGAGGUUAAGCAGACAAUGCGGAGCCGUAGCGAAAGCGAAUCUUAAUAGGGUGGCAAGUAUGUAGAGAUAGACCCGAAGCCGUAGUGAUCUAGUCAUGAGCAGGUUGAAGGCUGGGUGAAUCCAGCUGGAGGACCGAACCGACCCCCGUUGAAAAGUUGGCGGAUGACUUGUGAUUAGCGGAGAAAUUCCAAUCGAACACGGCGAUAGCUGGUUCUCCCCGAAAUAGCUUUAGGGCUAGCGUUGAACGAAUCUACCCGGAGGUAGAGCACUGAAAUCAUGCGGGCGGCAUCUCGCCGUACCAAAUGAUAUCAAACUCCGAAUGCCGGGCAAGAAUAUUCAGCAGUCAGACUGUGGGUGAUAAGGUCCAUGGUCAAAAGGGAAACAGCCCAGAUCAUCAGAUAAGGUCCCAAAAUUUACGCUAAGUGGAAAAGGAUGUGGAGACGCGCAAACAGCUAGGAGGUUGGCUCAGAAGCAGCCAUCCUUCAAAGAGUGCGUAACAGCUCACUAGUCGAGUAUCUCUGCGCCGAAAAUUAACCGGGGCUAAGCGUAAUACCGAAUCUAUGGAUUUAUACUUAGGUAUAAGUGGUAGGGGAGCGUUCCAUACAGCAUUGAAGGUAUACCGUAAGGAGUGCUGGAGCGUAUGGAAGUGAGAAUGCCGGUGUGAGUAGCGAGAUGUGGGUGAGAAUCCCACACACCGAAAAACCAAGGUUUCCAGGGGAAGGUUCGUCCGCCCUGGGUAAGUCGGGACCUAAGGCCAGGCCGAAAGGCGUAGUCGAUGGACAGCAGGUUGAUAUUCCUGCACCCGCGAGUAAAGUGAUGGAGUGACAGAUAGGGUUAACCCAAGUCCUAAAUGGAUUGGGCAAGGCAAGCAGGAGAGUGGCGUAGGCAAAUCCGCGCCGGAUACUCAAAGGCUUGACUCAAGCGAACGCGCGAGCAAGUAGUGAAGAGGGUGAUACCAGGUCUCAAGAAAAGCUUCUAGCGAUAAUUUACUAGCGGCCCGUACCAAAACCGACACAGGUGGUUGAGGCGAGUAGCCUAAGGUGAGCGAGAGAACUGUUGCCAAGGAACUCGGCAAAUUGACCCCGUACGUUAGCAAUAAGGGGUGCUCGAAAGAGCCGCAGUGAAUAGGCCCUAGCAACUGUUUAACUAAAACAUAGCUCUCUGCGAAGUCGCAAGACGAAGUAUAGGGGGUGACACCUGCCCGGUGCUGGAAGGUCAAGGGGAUUUGUCAGACGCAAGUCGAAGCAUUGAACCGAAGCCCCAGUGAACGGCGGCCGUAACUAUAACGGUCCUAAGGUAGCGAAAUUCCUUGUCAGGUAAG